rnacentral:rRNA from 1 species
AUGAACGCUGGCGGCGUGCCUAAUACCUGCAAGUCGAGCGAACAGACGAGGAGCUUGCUCCUCUGACGUUAGCGGCGGACGGGUGAGUAACACGUGGAUAACCUACCUAUAAGACUGGGAUAACUUCGGGAAACCGGAGCUAAUACCGGAUAAUAUAUUGAACCGCAUGGUUCAAUAGUGAAAGACGGUUUUGCUGUCACUUAUAGAUGGAUCCGCGCCGCACUAGCUAGUUGGUAAGGUAACGGCUUACCAAGGCAACGAUGCGUAGCCGACCUGAGAGGGUGAUCGGCCACACUGGAACUGAGACACGGUCCAGACUCCUACGGGAGGCAGCAGUAGGGAAUCUUCCGCAAUGGGCGAAAGCCUGACGGAGCAACGCCGCGUGAGUGAUGAAGGUCUUCGGAUCGUAAAACUCUGUUAUUAGGGAAGAACAAAUGUGUAAGUAACUAUGCACGUCUUGACGGUACCUAAUCAGAAAGCCACGGCUAACUACGUG